rnacentral:rRNA from 1 species
AACGAACGCUAUCGGUAUGCUUAACACAUGCAAGUCGGACGGACUGAUUAGGGCUUGCUUCAAUUAGUUAGUGGCAGACGGGUGAGUAACACGUGGGAAUCUGCCCAUCAGUACGGAAUAACUUUUAGAAAUAAAAGCUAAUACUGUAUAUUCUCUACAGAGGAAAGAUUUAUCGCGGAUGGAUGAGCCCGCGUCAGAUUAGGUAGUUGGUGAGGUAACGGCUCACCAAGCCGACGAUCUGUACCUGGUCUGAGAGGAUGAUCAGCCACACUGGGACUGAGACACGGCACAGACUCCUACGGGAGGCAGCAGUGGGGAAUGUUGGACAAUGGGCGAAAGCCUGAUGCAGUAAUGCCGGGUGAGUGAUAAAGUCCGUAGGGAUGUAAAGCGCUUUUAGCUAGGAAGAUAAUGACGUUACUUGCAGAAAAAGCCCCGGCUAACUCCGUG